AUUGAACGCUGGCGGCAGGCCUAACACAUGCAAGUCGAACGAGUGGCUGACUGGUGAGUAAUGUCUGGGAAACUGCCCGAUGGCGGGGGAUAACUACUUGAAACUGUUGCUUAUACCGCAAACCAUCUGAUGUGCCCCGAUUGGCGUAGCUAGUAGGUGGGGUAACGCCGGACCUAGGCGACGAUCCCUACCGGGUCUGAGAGGAUGACCAGCCACACGGGAACUGAGACACGGUCCAGACUCCGACGGGGGGCAGAAGUGGGGAAUCUUGGACAAUGGGCGCAAGCAUGAGGCAGCCAUGCCGCGUGGAUGAAGAAGGCCUUCGGGUUGUAAAGUACUUUCAGCGAGGAGGCGUUACUCGCAGAAGAAGCACCGACUAACUCCGUGCCAGCAGCCGCGGUAAUAC
rnacentral:rRNA from 1 species